AAUCGCAAUGGCCGCUCAGGACCUUCAGCAUGGUUUCUGUUACUUGCUCGAGUUGUGUGAUGAAUGCCGUCAGAGCCUUCGGCUGCCAGGAAGUCAGAUGGAUAGUCUGCUAUAUUUCCACGUCACUGUUAUUAUGCUGAGGUGUCAUGUUGCCUCCAUUUUCUGCUUCAUCAUUACCAGCUGCAAAAUCCGGUGAACUCUGCAGGUAGACCAGUUCAUUCUCCCUCACGGGCCUAAUGUCAAUAUCUUUGGGUACCAGUUGCUUGCG